rnacentral:rRNA from 1 species
AGCGAACGCUGGCGGCAGGCCUAACACAUGCAAGUCGAGCGCCCAGCAAUGGGAGCGGCAGACGGGAUAGUAACACGUGGGAACGUACCUUUCAGUUCGGAACAACCAAGGGAAACUUUGGCUAAUACCGAAUACGCCCGUAAGGGGAAAGAUUUAUCGCCAAAGGAUGAGCCCGCGUAAGAUUAGGUAGUUGGUGGGGUAAAGGCCUACCAAGCCGACGAUCUUUAGCUGGUCUGAGAGGAUGAUCAGCCACACUGGGACUGAGACACGGCCCAGACUCCUACGGGAGGCAGCAGUGGGGAAUAUUGGACAAUGGGCGCAAGCCUGAUCCAGCAAUGCCGCGUGAGUGAUGAAGGCCCUCGGGUCGUAAAGCUCUUUUACCAGGGAUGAUAAUGACAGUACCUGGAGAAUAAGCUCCGGCUAACUCCGUGCCAGCCGCCGCCGUAAAAC